rnacentral:misc_RNA from 1 species
UUAUUGUCAACACUCCAAACUUGUUCACUGUUAGAGAGACAAAGCAAGCUGUCUAUAGGAGCCCUUUUCUUCUCAUCCAGAGUCCAACUACAAAGACCAGUUACAUCAUCUUCCAUAGAAAAUUUCUGUUGAGUCCCAGAAUUAACAAGGGGACAAUCCUUUGAACAGCUUUCUUGCAUGGUGCUUUUCACAGAAUCCAUAUCCUGUUCUCUGUAGCGAUGGUCAAAACCAGUAUGUGGUUCACCAUCACACAGACUUUUAAAUCCCUUAUGCUUCCACUGGUCCACUGGGUUACAUGAGACCUUAUUCAUGCUAUUCUCAUUACCAUGUGUUUGCUCAUUAGAAGAUGGUUCACCUAAACUGCUUUCAAAAUUUUUAUCAGGCAUAAGGUUCUUUGAUCUGCCAUCCAGGGCUCCAUCAUCUUUUAAAGAAAAUGUUAGCCCAUUAGCUGAUGGAGCAAGUAAAAAAUUGUUGGAACUUCUUCCCUGCUCAAUAUUAGUUACACAUCCUUCAAGUACAUCUGCGUCUUUGCUGUGAUCACAGAUAUUAGAGCAUGGGACUUCAACAAGAUUAGGCACCUCGAUAGUACCAUUAGAAACCUUAACAAUAAUAUUUUCAGGAAGCAUUGCUCACAGGCAAAUAAAGUAAGCUCGCUGUGCAACUGGCAUUCCCCUUCAUAUUAUUUUCAGU